AAUGGUUUUAAAAAUGAAAAUGUUUUAAAGAUUUUCAUCCCUAAAAGUGUUUUAAGUGUUUGUUUUGGGCAAAAUGAACUUUGGCAGCUGAAAAAUAGACUUUCGACAGCUGAAAUCCUUUUUAUGGUUCAAAUGCCCAUUUGAACAAAACAGACUCUGGCAGCCGAAAGCAUGGCUUCCGACAGCCAAAAGUAUCUCGACUAUCAAAGGUAUAAAAUGGACCAAGGCCCUUGUUUCUGCCCAAAAUAAUUAGGUUUUUCUCUUCUUCUUCUUCUCUCACUCAAUUGUUGGAGCAUACAAGAAACUCUUUGAAAAGAUUUCUUUGGGUUUUUCAAGAUCUGGAGGUAGAUUAUUUUAUUUAGAAGUUUAGAAAAGUAUAUUUAAGUUUUAGAGCUUUGAUUUUCUCACCUCCAAGCUCUAAGAAAAGAGAAAAUUCCAUGGAGAGAUCUUGACGAUGCCCCUUCAGGGGAGAUUUCUAUGAUGCCCCAGGUGUAUGACACAUGUCAUAUUGUAAGCAAAAAUUCUGAGGAGCCUCUAUAUGAGCCGUGCACAUUAUAUUUGAAUAGUUGUUGAUGACAAGUCCAUCCUACGUGAAAUGUUUAUGACGUGAAAACCCAUGUGAAUGAUGCAUUGCAUAUGUAUGAAAUGAAUGACAUAAUUAAUAUUUGUUAGUUUA